CCAAUAGUAUAGCUGUGAUGCUAUUACUUUACUUCCCAUUGGAUUCCUGACUUCUGGUUUUCAGCUGAUAAUCAGAUGCCUAAGACAUUGAAAGUCAGAUAAGUGGGGCAUUUUUACAUUUUCUAAAGGAUAUAUAACAUAUAAUCACUUGAAUUAGAAGAAUCUUUUCUAUAUAGAAUUAUAGAAUCAAAUAAUUUAAAUAGUAAUAACAAGUAAAGCUGGGUCAUGUGUGGGUCUAUGUUUUAAAUACCUUGUAUAUUUUUGGCAGAAUUAAUAAAGACUUGUAAAAACUACUAAGUUCAAUUCUAAGACUGUUUCAUAUUAUUACCAAAAUAUCAAAAUGUGAGUUAUUUUACUAACUCACCCUCUUCAAGUUAUAGCCAUUAUAGAAGAAUUUUUAAGACUUUAGAUGUUCAUUAUUUUUUGAAU
rnacentral:lncRNA from 1 species